GAUGUUUACGGCAGCCCCGAGUCAGCAAACAGCCCGGGCACCCUGCUGCAGGCCUAGUGCCUUAGGAGAGGCCGAACCUCGAGAGCUUCUGCAGCCGUCAACGGUGACACCAAACGGCAGCGUGGGGACUGUGCGUGGCGGUCUGAUGUUGAACGAGAACCUGAAAUUCACACAUCAGAACACGACAUUCUCUGUCACUGGGAUCCCCAACUCUACGGAAAGAAGCAUCUCCAGCGCCAGCUCCUCAAGCAGAGGCCUCCGAGCAGAUGCUCAGGGAACGCGUGUUUCUCUGGUGAGCAGACAGUGUCUGCAGCCGCUGCAGCCCCUGAAGAGGCGCGGGUUCCAGGAGCUGGCCACGCCUCCCUGCUGACAAUGUGGGCAUCACUCAGCCUGCCUGAGGUGCCCAUCCUCCCCAGCCUUUCCCCGAGGAAUCCUCCCAGCUGGAUACCCCUGGAAAGUGGCAGAGGCCAGGGGGGAAUCACGACCCCUCUCCUGGGUCCCAUUCACACCUCCGGCUUAAUGAGCGUGAACUGCUGGUGGCAUCUGGGUCACGCCUUUUCAGUUGAUUAAAGCAAAGCACAGAUCUGGCUG